AUUGAACGCUGGCGGAAUGCUUUACACAUGCAAGUCGAACGAUGAACCUUAGCUUGCUAGGGGGAUUAGUGGCGAACGGGUGAGUAACAUAUCGGAACGUACCUAGUAAUGGGGGAUAACUAGUCGCAAGAUUAGCUAAUACCGCAUACGCCCUGAGGGGGAAAGUAGGGGAUCUUCGGACCUUACGUUAUUAGAGCGGCCGAUAUCUGAUUAGCUAGUUGGUGGGGUAAAGGCCUACCAAGGCGACGAUCAGUAGCUGGUCUGAGAGGACGAGCAGCCACACUGGAACUGAGACACGGUCCAGACUCCUACGGGAGGCAGCAGUGAGGAAUUUUGGACAAUGGGGGCAACCCUGAUCCAGCCAUUCCGCGUGAGUGGAGAAGGCCUUGGGGUUGUAAAGCUCUUUCGCAAGGGAGGAAAACUUACAUGCUGAUAAAGUGUGGGGGUGACGGUACCUAGAUAAGAAGCACCGGCUACUACGUGCCAGCCGCCGCGGUAA
rnacentral:rRNA from 1 species